UGGAUUAUGUGGUUUAAUUCCAUGAUACGCGAGGAACCUUACCAAGGCUUAAAUGGGAAUUGAUCGGUUUAGAAAUAGACCUUCCUUCGGGCAAUUUUCAAGGUGCUGCAUGGUUGUCGUCAGCUCGUGCCGUGAGGUGUUAGGUUAAGUCCUGCAACGAGCGCAACCCCUGUCACUAGUUGCUAGCAUUAAGUUGAGGACUCUAGUGAGACUGCCUACGCAAGUAGAGAGGAAGGUGGGGAUGACGUCAAAUCAUCACGGCCCUUACGCCUUGGGCCACACACGUAAUACAAUGGCCGGUACAGAGGGCAGCUACACAGCGAUGUGAUGCAAAUCUCGAAAGCCGGUCUCAGUUCGGAUUGGAGUCUGCAACUCGACUCUAUGAAGCUGGAAUCGCUAGUAAUCGCGCAUCAGCCAUGGCGCGGUGAAUACGUUCCCGGGCCUUGUACACACCGCCCGUCAAGCCAUGGAAGUCUGGGGUACCUGAAGUCGGUGACCGUAAAAGGAGCUGCCUAGGGUAAAACAGGUAACUAGGGCUAAGUCGUAACAA
rnacentral:rRNA from 1 species